ensembl:lncRNA
CCGGCAUCUGCGUCAGUUGGACUGGGUGGUCAGACUGUGAUCUUACACAACCUGAGCAGAUACUUUGUAUUGAGGACAGCCGGGUGAUGAUACAAAGUACAUUACCACAAUGGGGUCAGUUACGGACACCCUUCCUUGUGGCUGCACAGCGAGAGGGGAUUUUUGUUUUCUUUCAGGCUUGAAAGCUAAAGCCGCCUCACUGAUUACACGGCUCACCAAGGAGGUGCACAUUCAGGAGGCAACCAGCACCAGGAGAGAUUGAGGGCAAAUGAGAGACAGAAAGAGACUGAGACGUGGAGACAGAUAGACUGGAUGAAGUGUAAGUUACAAUGCACAAGCUUAAUCUUCAUAACCAAUGUUGUCUUUGUUAAUCACAUUGCAAUAGAAAAAAUGUAUUGCAGUCAUGUCUGUUUGUAUUUGUCUGAAAUUACGUUAUAUUAGUCAUUAACAGCAUUUGUAUCUCAUUCUGUCAAAAACUAGGACAAAGUUCUUUAAGUUGUUAAAGGUUAGAAUUACAGUAACAAAGAGGUAGUUGGGAUGUGCUAAACUGCGUGGCCAACAUCAAUAGCAGCUUAGCACAUCCCAACUACCUCUUUGUUACUGUAAUUCUAACCUUUAACAACUCAAUGAACUUUGUCCUAGUUUGCUUCCCUCUGUCCAAUACAAAAACAGAGUCAAGGUACUGUACCGUGCCAUCUCCCUCGCCUCAGCAGAGAUGAUGGGUUUAUAAAGAGGGGUCAGAUAGGACAUCCAACAGACGUUCUGGGCAGAGAGAGACUUGACAGAGUGUAUUGAAUCA